AGAGUUUGAUCCUGGCUCAGAGCGAACGCUGGCGGCGUACUUAACACAUGCAAGUCGAACGGGGAUCAUCCGUGUAGCAAUACAUAGGUGGUCCUAGUGGCGCACGGGUGAGUAACACGUGGGUAACCUGCCCUUGAGUUCGGGAUACCCCCUCGAAAGGGGGGCUAAUACCGGAUACGUUCCUUGGAUCGACAGGUCUGGGGAGGAAAGGUGGCGCAAGCUGCCGCUCUUGGAGGGGCUCGCGGCCUAUCAGCUAGUUGGCGGGGUAACGGCCCACCAAGGCUAUGACGGGUAGCUGGUCUGAGAGGACGACCAGCCACACGGGGACUGAGACACGGCUCCGACUCCUACGGGAGGCAGCAGUGGGGAAUUUUCCGCAAUGGGCGAAAGCCUGACGGAGUGACGCCGCGUGUGGGACGAAGGCCUUCGGGUCGUAAACCACUGUCAGUGGGAAAGAAGGGUGUCGACGCUAAUACCGUCGGCACCUGACGGUACCUGCAGAGGAAGCCCCGGCCAACUCUGUGCCAGCAGCCGCGGUAAGACAGAGGGGGCAAGCGUUGCUCGGAAUUACUGGGCGUAAAGGGCGCGUAGGCGGGAUGGCAAGUCGGUCGUGAAAUCCUUCGGCUCAACCGAAGAACGUCGAUCGAUACUGCUGUUCUUGAGGGUUGCAGAGGAGACUGGAAUUCCCGGUGUAGCGGUGAAAUGUGUAGAGAUCGGGAGGAACACCGGUGGCGAAAGCGGGUCUCUGGGCAAUUCCUGACGCUGAGGCGCGAAAGCGUGGGGAGCAAACGGGAUUAGAUACUCCGGUAGUCCACGCUGUAAACGAUGACGACUAGUGUGGGGGGUUCAGUCCCUUCCGUGCCGCAGCUAACGCAUUAAGUCGUCCGCCUGGGGAGUACGGCCGCAAGGUUGAAACCUCAAAGGAAUUGACGGGGGCCCGCACAAGC
rnacentral:rRNA from 1 species